UGCAUUGGAUUGAGAACAACGUAAAACUCUUAUCGAUAAGCCAUUGGAGGGCAAGUCUGGUGCCAGCAGCCGCGGUAAUUCCAGCUCCAAUAGCGUAUAUUAACGUUGUUGCAGUUAAAAAGCUCGUAGUUGAAGUGAGGGAGUGUGUGUUGUGAUCGAAUCGAUCGAGAGCAGUACAAGCUCCCCCUUCCAAUGGGUGUAUUGGGGUAUUCAUUUACUUCAUUACUCCUUUGGUCGUUUACUGUGAGAAAAUUAGAGUGUUCAAAGCGGGCGUUUGUUUGAAUAGAUUAGCAUGGAAUAAUGAUUGAAGGCUUUCGUGUUCGAUUUGAUUGGUUUGUUCAUGGAAGCAAGGUUAAAAGGAACAGUUGGGGGUAUUCAUAUUCACUAGUUAGAGGUGAAAUUCUCGGAUUUAUGGAAGAUGAACAAGUGCGAACGA
rnacentral:rRNA from 1 species